rnacentral:misc_RNA from 1 species
AAGGUCAAAUAGUACGUGAAAUUGUUGAAAGGGAAACGAUUGAAGUCAGUCGUACCGACGAGCAAUCAGCCUUUUGGGUGCGAUUAUGUGGUAAAUGAAAAGAUUUCGUGAAUCGCAUAUUUGUGCGUUUUGGGUGUACUUGCUCGUAUGUAGGUUAACAUCAAUUUCGAUCAUCAUAAAAUGACGGGAGGAAUGUAGCUUCUUCGGAAGUGUUAUAGCCUCUGGUAGAUGUGAUGAUUGGGAUUGAGGAUUGCAACGGAUACCUUUUGGGCUACUCGUCUGAUCUCUGAUUGUCUCUUUGGUGCCGAAAGCUUGCUUAUGGUUUCAAAGUAAGGUGGUCAAAAGGUUAGAACGGGUUAAAUUCGUUAAGGAUGUUGACGUAAUGGCUUUAAACGA